ACGAAAUAACAAGGUAUGAUCACAACAAACUGACUUUCGUUCAGUCUACGCAGAAUAGAGUGGGAGUAAUCCUCGUCAUUUGAUUGGCUUAUACUUUACGCGCCUUUUAUGAGUUUUUGAUUGUAUAAUGCAUUGUGUUGUAUUAAUGAUAAAAUAUUAAAAUAAUAUAUAUUUUUUUUUAUACAUUAUACUGUACAUGGUACAUUUUCACUUUUUCCUGUUGUUGUGUUUGUUUAUAAAUUGUUGUUUUUGGCUUUUUCACUAUGCCAGUUUGUGCAUUUAUUGGUUGCUAUAGUGGCAGUAAAAAAAUAAAAAAUAGCAAUACUAAAGUUCAUAUUUAUAGAUUUCCUAAAGACUCACAUAUGAGGGCUCAAUGGUUUGAACAAAUUCAAAAAGGUUCAAAGGAAACUGUGAAUAUUAAUUUUGAAACAGCUGCAGUAUGUUCAUUACAUUUUCCAUCUAGUUCAUACGAGAACAAAACAAGGGCACAAAACAUGUUGAAUUAUACACCCAUUCGUGGCAGAAAACUAAACCUGAUGCAGUACCAUUAAGUAAUCGUGAAUGUCUUGAAACAAGUAUGCUUGGUAAAAAUAGUCCAGUUCAACAAUCACCAAAAAUUUGUACACUGUCUGGAUCAUUUUUAGUUACAAAUCUAGCUGAUGAACCAACCAGUAUUGAACCAGCAAUUAAAGUAAAAAAAAGUUGUAAAACUAGUCUUUUUGAUAGGUUGGAAUCUGAUACAAAUUUUGGGGUAGAAGUUCUCGCAGAAGAAUAUAAUGAUUCUUGUUCGUAUCAAAAUUGUAAUCCAUAAUUGAUCAGUUACUUAGGAAGAUAAC